CCUACGGGAGGCAGCAGUGGGGAAUAUUGCACAAUGGGGGAAACCCUGAUGCAGCGACGCCGCGUGAGUGAAGAAGUAAUUCGUUAUGUAAAGCUCUAUCAGCAGGGAAGAAAAUGACGGUACCUGAGUAAUAAGCCCCGGCUAACUACGUGCCAGCAGCCGCGGUAAUACGUAGGGGGCAAGCGUUAUCCGGAUUUACUGGGUGUAAAGGGAGCGUAGACGGCAGUGCAAGUCUGGAGUGAAAGGCGGGGGCUCAACCCCCGGACUGCUCUGGAAACUGUACGGCUGGAGUGCAGGAGAGGUAAGUGGAAUUCCUAGUGUAGCGGUGAAAUGCGUAGAUAUCACACAGAACACCGAUUGCGAAGGCAGCUUUCCAAGCUAUUACUGACGCUGAGGCACGAAAGCGUGGGGAGCGAACAGGAUUAGAUACCACUGUAGUC
rnacentral:rRNA from 1 species